rnacentral:rRNA from 1 species
CGGACCAAACUCCUACGGGAGGCAGCAGUGAGGAAUAUUGGUCAAUGGACGGAAGUCUGAACCAGCCAUGCCGCGUGCAGGAUGACGGCUCUAUGAGUUGUAAACUGCUUUUGUACGAGGGUAAACCCGAAUACGUGUAUUCGGCUGAAAGUAUCGUACGAAUAAGGAUCGGCUAACUCCGUGCCAGCAGCCGCGGUAAUACGGAGGAUCCAAGCGUUAUCCGGAUUUAUUGGGUUUAAAGGGUGCGUAGGCGGUCAGAUAAGUUAGAGGUGAAAUUCCGGUGCUUAACACCGGCGCUGCCUCUAAUACUGUUUGACUAGAGAGUAGUUGCGGUAGGCGGAAUGUAUGGUGUAGCGGUGAAAUGCUUAGAGAUCAUACAGAACACCGAUUGCGAAGGCAGCUUACCAAGCUAUAUCUGACGUUGAGGCACGAAAGCGUGGGGAGCAAACAGGAUUAGAUACCCUGGUAGUCCACGCAGUAAACGAUGAUAACUCGUUGUCGGCGAUACAAUGUCGGUGACUAAGCGAAAGCGAUAAGUUAUCCACCUGGGGAGUACGUUCGCAAGAAUGAAACUCAAAGGAAUUGACGGGGGCCCGCACAAGCGGAGGAACAUGUGGUUUAAUUCGAUGAUACGCGAGGAACCUUACCCGGGCUUGAAAGUUAGUGACGGACUUGGAAACAAGUCUUCCCUUCGGGGCACGAAACUAGGUGCUGCAUGGUUGUCGUCAGCUCGUGCCGUGAGGUGUCGGGUUAAGUCCCAUAACGAGCGCAACCCCUACCGUUAGUUGCCAUCAGGUAAAGCUGGGCACUCUAGCGGGACUGCCGGUGUAAGCCGAGAGGAAGGUGGGGAUGACGUCAAAUCAGCACGGCCCUUACGUCCGGGGCUACACA